rnacentral:rRNA from 1 species
AUUGAACGCUUGCGGCAUGCCUUACACAUGCAAGUCGAACGGCAGCACGGAGCUUGCUCUGGUGGCGAGUGGCGAACGGGUGAGUAAUAUAUCGGAACGUACCCAGGAGUGGGGGAUAACGUAGCGAAAGUUACGCUAAUACCGCAUACGUCCUAAGGGAGAAAGUGGGGGAUUCGCAAGAACCUCAUGCUCAUGGAGCGGCCGAUAUCUGAUUAGCUAGUUGGUAGGGUAAAAGCCUACCAAGGCAACGAUCAGUAGCUGGUCUGAGAGGACGACCAGCCACACUGGAACUGAGACACGGUCCAGACUCCUACGGGAGGCAGCAGUGGGGAAUUUUGGACAAUGGGCGCAAGCCUGAUCCAGCAAUGCCGCGUGAGUGAAGAAGGCCUUCGGGUUGUAAAGCUCUUUCGUCAGGGAAGAAAAGGGAUUGGCUAAUAUCUGGUCCUCAUGACGGUACCUGAAGAAUAAGCACCGGCUAACUACGUGCCAGCAGCCGCGGUAAUACGUAGGGUGCAAGCGUUAAUCGGAAUUACUGGGCGUAAAGCGUGCGCAGGCGGUUUUGUAAGACUGUCGUGAAAUCCCCGGGCUCAACCUGGGAAUGGCGAUGGUGACUGCAAGGCUAGAGUUUGGCAGAGGGGGGUAGAAUUCCACGUGUAGCAGUGAAAUGCGUAGAUAUGUGGAGGAACACCGAUGGCGAAGGCAGCCCCCUGGGUCAAAACUGACGCUCAUGCACGAAAGCGUGGGGAGCAAACAGGAUUAGAUACCCUGGUAGUCCACGCCCUAAACGAUGUCUACUAGUUGUCGGGUCUUAAUUGACUUGGUAACGCAGCUAACGCGUGAAGUAGACCGCCUGGGGAGUACGGUCGCAAGAUUAAAACUCAAAGGAAUUGACGGGGACCCGCACAAGCGGUGGAUGAUGUGGAUUAAUUCGAUGCAACGCGAAAAACCUUACCUACCCUUGACAUGGAUGGAAUCUUCGAGAGAUUGAAGAGUGCCCGAAAGGGAACCAUUACACAGGUGCUGCAUGGCUGUCGUCAGCUCGUGUCGUGAGAUGUUGGGUUAAGUCCCGCAACGAGCGCAACCCUUGUCAUUAGUUGCUACGCAAGAGCACUCUAAUGAGACUGCCGGUGACAAACCGGAGGAAGGUGGGGAUGACGUCAAGUCCUCAUGGCCCUUAUGGGUAGGGCUUCACACGUCAUACAAUGGUACAUACAGAGCGCCGCCAACCCGCGAGGGGGAGCUAAUCGCAGAAAGUGUAUCGUAGUCCGGAUUGUAGUCUGCAACUCGACUGCAUGAAGUUGGAAUCGCUAGUAAUCGCGGAUCAGCAUGUCGCGGUGAAUACGUUCCCGGGUCU